rnacentral:rRNA from 1 species
CCGGCGACCGGCGCACGGGUGAGUAACACGUAUGCGACCUGCCCCCCGCAGGGGGAUAACCGGGAGAAAUCCCGACUAAUACCGCGUAACGCCGCGACCUGCAUGGGUCUGCGGCCAAAGGAAGCGAUUCCGGCGGGGGAUGGGCAUGCGGCGCAUUAGCUAGUCGGCGGGGUAACGGCCCACCGAGGCGACGAUGCGUAGGGGUUCUGAGAGGAAGGUCCCCCACACUGGUACUGAGACACGGACCAGACUCCUACGGGAGGCAGCAG